rnacentral:lncRNA from 1 species
GCAAAACUCAAAAGUCAACAUUAGAAGAUGAGAGAAACAAGCCUAUUUGAAUUACAUGUUCUGAAGAACAACUUCUAUUUCCAACCAUAUGCCUUAGUAAAAUUUAUGAGCCUCCCUGAGUCUGCAGUCCCUUUCUUGCUAAUCUUUGCUUUUUCUUUUUUUUCUUAAUCUCCCUUUCCCAUAGUUUCCUUUGCGCUUUUCUUUUGUUUAUGUUUUUGAUGUUGUUGUUUAAAAUUUUGUAUUUCCUUUUUCUUCUCCCCUCCCAUGCCCUAAUCCCAAGUCACAGCUGGUACUAUUCUUCCCGAUUUUCUCUCUUUGUUUUAAAAAGUUAAGCUGACAUUUAAUAAUUUGACACAAUUCACAUAGAAAUCUAAGUUUCUGAUUUUUCUUGAAAACUAGAAGCUGUAGCCACAUUGGGCUGUAGUUUCUACAAGGCCACAAUCAGCCAGAGGUAAGUAGAGGCUGCAGCCUUAGGUGGGUCUCACACUCUCCAGAGUCCCUACCACUAUGCUUUCCUUCACCUACUUGUGAGACUUGCCUUACCCCUGUUGGCAUUGAUUUACUCUGACUUACACCCAUCAUGGAGAUAUGCUAGCUACAUGCUUAAGUCGGAGACACCUUAAGAAAAGAUCAUUUACAUUCUCAGGCAGAGACUGUUGUGAAGAGAUAUCAUGUACUCAACAAAUGACAACCUACUAGGUGCCAGGUACACUUUUUGAUGUUAGAGGUAAAAACAAAUAAGAGAGAAAUUUGCCUACUUUUAUGGUUUUAUCUAAUAGAAGUUGUCAGUAAACAAAUAAACACAUUAACAAGAUAAUUUCAAGCAGUGCUAAGUAUAUGAAAUGGUAUUUUAUGCUUCAUAAUUUUGUGUAGUGAAAAUAUAUGAAAGGCACACAGCAGGUAGAUAGGAUAGAGGGCAGGGGUAGGGAUAGCUUGAGAUGGAUGGUGGCACCAGAGUUGUUGAUGUAGGUCAGAGAUCACAGGAAGGUGUCUAGGUGAUAAUAAACCAGGAGCUGACUGUGACAUCUGAGGCAGCACCAGCUUUGUGAAGAGCUCGGAGAAAAAAUAAGAUAAGCAGAGGAAAGAAUAAAUACAAGAAGCUUGAGGUAGGCAUGAUUUUGACAUCUUCAAGGAAAUUGAAGCCAGUGUGAUUGGGGCUUAGAGAGGUGAUACAUAGGAGGGAAGCUGAGGAGGUGGGCAACAGAUCUUGCAAAGCUUUGGAGCCCACAGUGAGGAGUUCGGAUCUGAUUCUAAUUGCACUGGAAAAUCAUUAGAGAUUAUUAAGAAUGUGAGUUUUUGCAAAAUCUGAUUUUCUAUAAGGAGUAAUGCCUUACAAUUUAUAGCUGUAACUGAGUGUGAAAUAUAAUACUUUCAGAAAAAAAUAUACAUAACACAUACCAAAUGCUUAGUGAAUAAUUAUAAAAGCAAAGAUCAUGUAUCCACCACACCCUCAGGAAAUAGAACUCUGCCUAAUUCCAGAAACACUCUCCGUAUCUGUCAUUCCCUAUAGAAAAUAACCACUUCUCUCCUCAAGGUCAUUGUCAUCAUGACAUUUAUUGUAUAUGCUUUCUUGAUUUUCUUUAUAGUUUUCCCUCUUAACAAAUGCCUCCCUACACAAUAUAGCUUCAUGUCACCUAUUACUAAAUUAAAUCUUACAUAAAUAUAAUUUGACAUCUACAUUAAGAUAGUGAAUGGAAAACUCCUUACAGAAAUUCUCUUUCCCAAAACAGAAUUCAAAGAUAGUUUUAAGCAUAACAUCUUUUUUUAUUUACAACAAUAAAAUAAGGGCAUAACUUAAUGUAAUACAUUUAUUUCAAAAACUGACAACCAAGGGAAAGAAUUCUUAAGCAAAAUACAAA